rnacentral:rRNA from 1 species
GACGAACGCUGGCGGCGUGCUUAACACAUGCAAGUCGAACGAAGAGCGAUGGGAGCUUGCUUCUAUCAAUCUUAGUGGCGAACGGGUGAGUAACGCGUAAUCAACCUGCCCUUCAGAGGGGGACAACAGUUGGAAACGACUGCUAAUACCGCAUACGAUCUAAACUCGGCAUCGAGGAUAGAUGAAAGGUGGCCUCUACAUGUAAGCUAUCACUGAAGGAGGGGAUUGCGUCUGAUUAGCUAGUUGGAGGGGUAACGGCCCACCAAGGCGAUGAUCAGUAGCCGGUCUGAGAGGAUGCACGGCCACAUUGGGACUGAGACACGGCCCAGACUCCUACGGGAGGCAGCAGUGGGGAAUCUUCCGCAAUGGACGAAAGUCUGACGGAGCAACGCCGCGUGAGUGAUGACGGCCUUCGGGUUGUAAAGCUCUGUUAAUCGGGACGAAAGGCCUUCUUGCGAAUAGUGAGAAGGAUUGACGGUACCGGAAUAGAAAGCCACGGCUAACAACGUG